UCGGGCGUAGUGUACGCAACACCCGCCGCAUCCGUACGGUAUUAAAUUGACAAAUUGAAUCGAUCCAGCGAGACCCAGGUUCGACUCCUGGCGCCCGAC